UGCUGCGCGCCUGCGCGAACGAGUCAGGACGUCCGCUCCCCUGGCGGACGCAGGCGUAACGACGACGUAAUGACGUAACUGUACAGGACGGCGGGGCCGCGGUGGCUGCCAGGACAUGUAGUCUUAAGCAAGAAACCGGCCAGCUCCAGCAGAAUCCGGGAGCAGCGACAGUGACCGAAACCGAACCUGAGGUCCUCAAGCAGACGUACCCCUGCAGCGCCUCUUCUGGGAGUGUGGAUUUCACCCUGCUGUGUUCUGAGUCGACCUAUCUCGCUGUACUCAAGUGACUCCCCAGAGGUUCUAGAAACCUCCCCACACACAACGUCAGAUUGAGUCUUAAUGUGAUGCCUUUAGGGAAAUGUAGUCCGAGGCCAGAAACGCUGCGGCAGACUGGGAGGCAGGGUCCAGAUUUCUCUCAGAGCUCUGGCCUGUACGCAGUGACCGCGAGAGCUGGGUUGCUAAGCAGCUCGAAGGGGUCAGACUGUGUGUGUUUGUGUUUCCCAGUGCCCUCUGCCGUGGUGGAGGUGAGGAAGGGAGGACGGUGGUGUGUGUUCAGGCUGUGCUUGAGCCUGUGAGAGGGAAUAAGUGGAUAAGUGUGAUCCAUUUCGGAUUGUGUUUGGUGGUAUGGGAAACGAGGUGAAACUGUGCACCAGAGAUUUGUUAAUAAGCACAAUUAAACCCAUGCACACCUUGCCUUAAAUUCAGGUGGAAUAUACUCAAGGUCAUAGUUUGGUUCUCAGGGACUUGCUCUGAUUUUCUUCAGUUUCAGCUUGAACUUGCAAAUGAGCAAUUGAUGGUCUGUUCCACAGUUGGCCCCUGGCCUUGUUCUGACUGAUGAUAUUGAGCUUUUCCAUUGUCUCUUUCCACAGGUGUAGUCAAUUUGAUUUCUGUGUGUUCCAUCUGGCAAGGUCCAUGUGUAUAGCCACCGUUUAUGUUGCUGAAAGAAGGUAUUUCCAAUGAAGAAGUCAAUGGUCUUGAGAAAUUCUAUCAUUCAGUCUCCAGCAUUGUUUCUGUCACCAAGGCCGUAUUUUCCAAAUACUGAUCCUUCUUCUUAGUUUACAACUUUCGCAUUCCAAUCGCCAGUAAUUAUCAAUUCAUCUUGAUUGCAUGUUCGAUCAAUUUCAGACUGCAGUAGCUGAUAAAAAAUCUUCUAUUUCUUCAUCUUUGGCCCUAGUGGUUGGUGUGUAAAUUAGAAUAAUAGUCAUAUUAACUGGUCUUCCUUGUAGGCAUAUGGAUAUUAUCCUAUCACUGACAGCGUUGUACUUCAGGAUAGAUCUUGAAACAUUCUUUUUGAGGAUGAAUGCAACACCAUUCCUCUUCAAGUUGUCAUUCCCCGCAUAGUAGGCUAUGUGAUUGUCCAAUUCAAAACAGCCAAUACCAGUACAUUUCAGCUCACUAAUGCCUAGAAUAUUGAUGUUUAUGCAUUGCAUUCCAUUUUUGACGAUUUCCAAUUUUCCUAGAUUCAUACUUUGUACAUUCCAGGUUCCAAUUAUUAAUGGAUGUUUGCAGCUGUUGUUUCUCAUUUUGAGUCCCGCCACAUCAGCGAAUGAAGGUCCUGAAAGCUUUACUCCAUCCACAUCAUUAAGGUCGACUCUACUUAGAGGAGGCAGCUCUUCCUCAGUCAUCUUUUGAGUGCCUUCCAACCUGGGGGGCUCAUCUUCCAGCACUAUAUCGGACAAUGUUCCGCUGCUAUUCAUAAGGUUUUCACUGGCAGAAUUUAGCGCAUGCUAAAACACUGUGUCUAUGGGGAGACUGGGAACACUACAUGCAUGCUUAGGAAAAAACGGAUGCUCAUCAAACACCUAAGAAGAACCUAUCCUUUGGCCUCAGACUGACCCUGAAGCACAGAUCAAAGUUGCAAAGACAGGUUUUUUUUUGUAUGUUUGUAUUUUUUUUCUUUUCUUCUAUUUUUUCUCUUCUUUUUGUUGUCUCUUCUGUUAUGUCCAUUUUCCUUUUUUGUCUUUGUUUAGUGCAAGGAAAUAUCUUUUGAAAUACCAGUGUGAACAGGCUGGGGAACAGAGUCCUCAGGUCCAUGCACAUAGACACCAGUCAUUUAAAAAAUAUGUAGGAUGGUUCCUGAAAAAGUAGAACAUAGAACUACCAUAUGACCCAGCAAUCCUAGAUAUAUACCCAAAAUAUUUGAAAGCAGGAAUGCCAAGGGAAACCUGUACACCAAUGAUCAUUGCAGCACUUUUCACGGUAGCCAGAAGGUGGAAACAACUGAAAUGUCCGACAACAGGUGAAUGGAUAAACAAAAUGUGGUAUAUAAACAUAAUGGUACAUGCCUUGGUCAUCUACUGCUACCAUAACAGAAAUACCAUAAGUGGGUGGCUUUAACAAAGAGAAAUUUAUUUCCUCACAAUAAAGUUGGCUAAAAGUCCAAAUUCAAGACAACAGCUCCAGGAGAGGCUUUCAGUCUCUGUCGGCUCUGGAAGAAGGUCCUUGCCCUCAAUCUUCCCCUGGUCGAAGAGCUUCUCAGGUGCAGGGACCCCGGGUCCAGUGGACACGCUGUGCUCCUGGUGCUACUUUCUUGGUGGUAUGAGGUCCCCAACUCUCUCCUUGUUUCCCUUUAUCUCUUGAGAGAGAGAAAGUGGUACAGGCUGCACCAAAGGGAAACUCCCUUUAUCUUGGAUCGGGGGGUGACCUGAGUGAGGGUGGUGUUAUCCAACCCUAACCCUUUUAACAUAAAAUUACAAUCAUAAAUGGAGGACAACCACUCAAUACUGGGAAGCAUGGCCUAACCAACUUGAUACACACAUUUUUCGGGGGACAUAAUUCAAUCCAUGACAGUAUACUACUCAGCCAUAAAGAGAAAUGAAGUCCUGAUGCAUGCUACGAUAUUAUGUUGAGUGAAAUAAGUCAGUUCCAAAGGAUAAAUACUGUAUGGUGAUGAAUCUGUGAAACAUUUCAUAACACGGAGGAACCUGGAAGGCAUUAUGCUGAGUGAAAUUAGUUGCAAAAGGACAAAUAUUAUAUAAGACCACUAUUAUAAGAUCUCGAGAAAUAGUUUAAACUGAGAAGAACACAUUCUUUUGUGGUUACAAGAGGGGGCAAGGAGGAAAGAUGGGAGGAGGUAUUUACCAAUUAGAUAGCAGAUACCUACUUUAGGUGAAGGGAAGGACAGCACUCAAUACAGAGGAGGUCAGCACAACUGGACUAAACCAAAAGCAAAGAGGUUUUCUGAAUAAACUGAAUGCUUCCAAGGUCGGCGAAGCAGGGGCAGGGGUUUGGAGACCAUGGUUUCAGGGGACAUCUAAGUCAAUUGGAAAAACAAAAUCUAUUAAGAAAACCUCCUGCAUCCCACUUUGAAGAGUGGCGUCUGGGGGUCUUAAAGGCUAGCAAGCGGCCAUCUAAGAUGCAUCAAUCAGUUUCAACGCACCUGGAUGAAAGGAGAAUAAACAACACCAAGGACACAAGGUGAUUAUGAGCCCGAGACAGAAAGGGCUACAUGAACCAGAGACUACAUCAUCCUGAGACCAGAAGAACUAGAUGGUGCCCAGCCACAACUGAUAACUACCCUGACAGGGAACACAACAGAGAACCCCUGAGGGCGCAGGGAAACAGUGGGGUGCAGACCCCAAAACCUUGUAAAAAGACCAGACUUAAUUGACUGAGACUAGAAAGGCCCCGGCAGUCAUGGUCCCCUAACCUUCUGUUGGCCCAGGACAGGAACCAUAUGUGAAGCCAACUGAUCAGACAUGGAUUGGACUGCACGAUGGGUUGGAGACAGAUGCUGCUGAGGAGUGAGCUACUUACAUCCGGUGGACACUUGAGACUGUGUUGGUAUCUCCUGUCUGGAGGGGAGAUGGGAGGGUACAGAGGGUUAGAGGCUGGCAAUAUGGUCAUGAAAAGAGAGACCAGGACUUCAGUCUAGUUAUAGGCCUAGAAGCAACAAUGAGUGUUGGGAAUGUGUCUGGAGAACAUUCAGCAAUGUCUUGUAAGACAUCUGCCUUAAGGGAUGAUGCCCCAGGCAGUGACUCAGACAUCACCCUAGUGGACGACUGAGACAAAGGCUCUUCAGACACAACUGGGUUAAUCUCAGCAGAUGGGGUCUGAGGGGCUAACAGUUUUCCUGGGGAGGGUGGUUUAGCAGCCAAACAUGGAGUAAUCCCUUCAGGCGGGAGCUGCUAUUUGGUGAUGGCCUUGCUAUUCCUCAAUGAAACUCAUUUUCUUUCACUCCUAAUAGAGUGUGGGAUUUUGUUCUUCAACAACACAAACAAACAGAAAACAUGACCAGAGCCUUUGCAGCAGCAAAUUAGCUAGGAGAAGAUUAUAAUGUAAUGCUUUCAAGUUCUGAUUUAAAGUAGAAUUCUAACCCAGGCAAAAUGUGAGGGCAAUCAAGGCAUUUCCAGACAAGUAAGUAAGAACUUAAACAUCUACUUGCAAGGCAUGCACCUUGAGGAAACUGUUGGAGAAAGGAAAUCGGCACAAAGGACUGAUGAGAAAAAAAAAAAAAAAAGACUGUUUAGGAAUAGAAAAUAAAAACAGACAUCUGAUCUGUCUGUAAAGAGACUAAAGUAACUCUAAGCGCUCAAUGUAGUCUUUCACCUUAGGUUUGGCGUUGGCUGUCUAGCAGCUCCAGGUAAGCUUUCCCCCAGGUUCUACCUUCCUUCCCUAGGAAUCAACCCAUCACCAUGAAGGAAAUGAGUUGCUUUGCGGAUCAGGCUAAAGAAUGUGAAGACUUAAGGCAAACUUUUGGUAUCAGCCUCCUCAGGUUUCUGACAUGCCCAGCAAAGUGAGAGAUCAUUGAAACUCCUUGUUUCCAUUCUCAUCUGGAGAGCUAACAUUCUGAGCAACGUGAUUGUUAACCAACCAGUCUUGAGAAUAUCCGUCCUGUGGCUGCUUUGUAACCAAGGUGAAACCCCCUUGAUCUCCUGUCUUUCAAUUGUGUCUUGUAGCCAGUCAAUCGACUCACGUAAGCAAUAAUGACAACGAUUGUGCUUUACUUGUCGCGCCUUUGACUGACCUUCGUCACUGUGAACCAACAAGAAAAACUGUAAUUUUAUUCUCCCCCUUCAGCACUCUGAUUACUCCUGAUUUGCCUUCUUCCCCUGAGAUUCCGGAACGUCAGCCUGAGACUUUGCGAUCUCCCACUGCCACGUCUCCGCUGCAAUAAAUCUCUUUCGAUAUUACCUUAAGGGAGCUGGAAAGUCUUUUCUCUCCAACAUUUUGGCGUAGUUAAUCGGCAGGGUUUUUGAAGUUACCCUUCCCCCGGAGACCCGAAGACCUGAAACACGGGACUCUGGCACCCAGGGCCCCUCUGUGUGCCCCUCCCUGCAGCUUUUUCGGACCCUUCUGGCUGUCUGGGGGGAGAAGGGAGCAGAGAGACUGGAGGACUUCAUUACCACCAAGCAGAAGAGCCAGGAGCAUUUGCUUUGAACCAGGGGCCCCUGCACUGAGAAGCUGCUAGAUCUGGGGAAGACUGAUGACAAGGACCUUCUCCCAGAGCCAACAGAGAGAGAAAGACUUUCCUAGGAGCUGACGCCCUGAAUUCAGACUUCUAGUCUCCUAGACUGUGAGAGAAUAAAUUACUCUUUGUAAAAGCCAUCCACGUGUGGUAUUUCUGUUGUAACAACACUAGAUGACUCAAAUAAAACAUGGGUAAAGAACUUGAAUAGACAUUGCUCCCAAGAAAAAUAUACAAAUGUCCAAUAACCACAUGAAAGUAUGCUCAAUAUCUUUUGUCAUUGUUGCUGUUGUUGUUAGGUGCCCGUGAGUCAGUCAGUUCCAACUCAUAGUGACCCUACGAACAACAAAAGAAAACACUGCCUGGUCCUAUACCAUCCUCACAACCACUGUUAUGCUUGGGCCCAUUGUUGCAGCCACUCUGACAAUCCAUCUCAUUGAGGGUCUUCUUUCUUGCUAAUCCUCUACUUUAGCAAGCAUGAUGUCCUUUUCCAGGGACUGAUCCCUCCUGAUAACAUGUCCAAAGUAAAUGAGACUUAGUCUUGCCAUCUUAGCCUCCAAGACGCAUUCUGGUUGUACUUCUUCCAAGACAGAUUUCUUUGUCCUUUUGGCAGUCCAUGGUUUAUUCGAUACUGUUUGCCAAAAGCAUAAUUGAAAAGUAUCAAUUCUUCUUUGAUCUUCCUUAUUAAUUGUCCAGCUUUCACAUGCAUAUGAGAAGAUUGAAACACAAUGGCUUGGGUCACACACACCAUAGUCUUCAAGGCAAUGUCUUUGCUUUUCAACACUUAAAGAGUGUUCUAAGUUUUUUUUUUUUUUUUGCAUCAGAUUUGCCCAGUGCAAUCCGACAUUUGAUUUCUUGACUGCUACUUCCAUGGGUGUUGAUUGUGAAUCCAUGUGAAGCGAAAUCCUUGACAAUUUCAAUCUUUUUUUUUUUUUUAUCAUGAUGUUGCUUAUUGGUCCAUUUGUGAGGAUUUUUGUUGUAUGUUGAGGUGUGAUCAAUCCAUACUGAAGGCUGUGGUCUUUGGUCUUCAUCAGUAAGUGCUUCAAGUACUCUUCACUUUCAGCAAGCAAGGUUGUAUCAUCGGCAUAACACAGGUUGUUAGUGAAUCUUUCUCUAAUACUGAUGCCCCGUGUUUGUUCAUAUACCCCAGAUUCUCAGAUUAUUUGCUCAGCAUACAUAUUGAACAGGUCAGUCGAAAGGAUACAACCCUGACGCACACCUUUACUGACUUUAAACCACACAGCAUCCCUUUGUUCUGUUCGAAUGACUGCCAGUUGCUGUGUGUACAAGUUCUUCAUGAGCACAAUCGACUGUGCCAGAAUUUCGCAUCUUCGCAAAGUUAUCCAUAAUUUUUUAUCACCCACACAGUCGAAUGCCUUUGCAUAGUCAAUAAAACAGAGGUAAACAUCUUUCCGGUAUUCUCUGCUUUCAGCCAGGAUCCAUCUGACAUCAGCAAUGAUAUCCCUGGUUUCACGUCCUCUUCUGAAUCCAGCUUAAAUUUCUGGUAGUUCUCUGUGCAUAUACUGCUACAGCUGAUCUUCAGCAAAAAUGUACUUGGGUGUGAUAUUAAUGAUACCGUUCGAUAAUUUCUGCAUUCUGUUGGAUCACCUUUCUUGGGAAUAGGCAUAAAGAUGGUCGGCCAGGCAGCUGUCUUCCAAAUUUCUUGGCAUAGACAAGCGAGCACUUCCAGCACUGAAUCUGUUUGUUGAAGCAUCCCAGUUGAUAUUCUGUCCAUUCCUGGAGCCUUGUUUUUUGCCAGAGCCUUCAGUGCAGCUUGGACUCUCUCUCGGCUCUGGAGGAAGGUCCUUCUCCUCAAUCUUCCCAUGGACUGGGAGCUUCUUAGCACAGGAAGCCCGGAUCCAAAGCACCGUUUCUGCUCCCAGUGCUUCUUUCUUGGUGGCAUGAGGUCCCCAUUCUCUGCUGGCUUCCCUUUCUUUUUAUCUCUUGUAAAAAAGAGAAAAAAGGAUAAAAGGUGGUGCAGGCCAACUCCAGAGAAACUUCCUUUACACUGGAUCACGGAUAUGACCUUAGUAAGGGUGUUAUAAUCCCACCCUAAUCCUCUUUACCAUAAAAUUACAAUCACAAAGUAGAGGAUAACCACAAAAUACUGGGAAUCAUGGCCUAACCACGUUGACGCAUCUUUUGGGUGGACACAUUCAAUCCAUGACAUUCUGCCCAAUGGUCUCCAAAAAUUCAUGUCCUUGCUACAUGUAAGACACAUUCACCCUAUCACAUCACAUCACAGCAAAAGCCCUAAAUCAACUCCAAGUCCAAAAUCCACAAAUUCUUCUUUACCUGUGAAAUCUAGAAUACAAGUUUGUUUGCUUCCAAAGUACAAUGGCAAACCAGGCACAAACUAGAUAUUUCCAUUACAAAUGGGAGAAAUUGCAGGGAAAGUAGUGAUGACAGGAGUAAAGAAAGUCUAUAGAAUAUAUUCCAUUAGCCCUCAAGGCUGGAAAAUAAUCCUCUGUUCUCUGAGAGGAUUCACACAAUGGCCCUGCCCUCCAGACUCCAGGUAUUGGUCGCAUUCUCUGGAUUCUGAGUCGAGGCCCCUGGGCCCUGGGCUUUAGCUCCGACUUUCAGGCCCAGGCAAUAAGACUUACCAAAAUAAAAUUAAAAACAUACAUAAAUGGAUGGAAAAGGUAUAAUAUGCAAACACCAAACAAAAGAAUGUUCGACUUGCUUUGCUCAUACCAAAUAACAUAGGUUUCAGAGUAAAAGUAUAUUAGCAUAAACAGACGGAGAAUAAAAACAAUAAAAGGGUUAAUUCACCUAGAAAAUAUAAUAACCCUAUGGCAGCGGAUUUUUUUUUUCUUUUCUUGGUUUAAAAGUCUAUGUCUCUAUUACGAGAGAUUCAAAAUACAAUGAAAAAAAAAAAAACUAAUGGGAGGAGGAGCCAAGAUGGCGGACUCGACAGACACAUCCUUGGCGCCCUCUUUACAACAAAGACCCGAAAAAACAAGUGAAAGAGUAUAUUUGUAACAAGCUGGGAGCCUUGAGCAUCAAAGGCAAGCUUAGACAACAAACUGAGGGGUAGGGGAAGGAAGGGACCUUUCAGAAGCGGAGAGGAGUUGCCGGCCCUGAAUCGUGGGGAGCCCUCAGGCACCAUUCCCGGAGCAGCGGAGGUGGCAGCGGCGGGCGGGUCCUAGCGUUUGGCCGCAGUCUCCUCGGGGAGAAGCAGCAGCCACACAGCCCACUCACACCUCCAGAACCUGAACAGAAGGGCACUCUCCGCAAAAGCUAAGUACUUGCGGAUAUUUUACUGAGCCCCCCCACCCCCACGCCAGCUACAGCGGCUGAAUCCCUAGGCCUGAGAUAGACCCUGGUGAGCACCUGGAGCCGUCCUCCUGGCCUUGGGGAAGGAAAAAAAAUGCAACUGGGGGGAAGAGGUAAUUUGCUAGCUCCAUUAACUGGGGAAUCUCAGGACAGAAGCGACUCCCGUCCAGGCAUAAACCGUCUGUGGACCUUGAGCACCUUUCCCUUCUUCAUGGACCUGUGUGGGCCUAUUUCGGGAGAAUAGGCCCUUGUUGGCAAAGUCCAAGCAUUUCAGCGGUGCCGUGGAGAGGUGGGCGUUUGAUGUUUGACAUUGCUUUGCCUAUUAAACAGGGUCCUCACCUACCCACAUCAGGGACCUGAGGACUGGUAGCUCCACUCAGGUCACCCAGCCACCCGCGACAGGGGUCCAAAGAUAACUGGUACCUCCCACUCCUUACAACCUGAAACUUUGGGUGCCCAUGGUCCGUCUGCAGGACCCACCCUCCAGCAUGCUCUAGGGAACAGAGAUGCGUUUUUCUCAGAGACACUUGGGGGUCAGUUCUUAGUCCCCUGCCUUGUUCAGAGCUUGAGCCUCUGCUGCAAUCAGAUACCGGUAUCUACGCCAAUCACCCCUGCCCCUCUAAGACUGCAGGACAGAGCCUGUACCACACACUUGAUGAUCAGCUACCUGGAAACCUGAGCUGAAUUCAUACAAGAAAACUGAAUGGACUCCUAGACUGAUAUACCUGAUAACACAUCUAGCCAGCUGGAGACAGGACACCAGAGUUCCAAAGCUGAAAACAAUCAAGUUAGCUCACUCAAGCAACCCAUAGCGGUAUACCAAAACAAAACAAAGCAAGCAGCUACGACACAGGAAGCAAGCAUAAACUAAGACAAUAACUUAUAGAUGGCUCGGAGACAACAGUCAAUAUCAAGUCAGGUAAAGAAACAGACCAUGAUCACCUCAACAGGCUCUCAGAACAAAGAAUCCAGGGAUCUUCUAGAUGAAAGUGCAUUCCUGGAAUUACCAGAUGCAGAAUACAAAAGUUUAAUACACAGAACACUUUAGGACAUCAGGAAGGAAAUGAGGUAAUACACAGAACGAGCCAAGGAACACACAGAUAAAGCAACUGAAGAAAUUAGAAAGAUUAUUCAGGAACAUUAUGAAAAGUUUUAUAAGCUGGGAAAAUCCAUAGACACACAACAAUAAGGAAUUCAGAAGAUUAACAAUAAAAUUACAGAUUUAGACAACUCCGUGGAAAGUCAGAGGAGCAGAAUUGAGCAAGUAGAAGCUAAAAUUUCUGAACUCGAAGUUAAAUCACUUGGCACUAAUAUAUUUGAAGAAAAAUCAGAUAAAAGAAUUGAGAAAAAUGAAGAAACCUUAAGAAUCAUGUAUGUGGGACUCUAUCAAGAGAAAUAAGCUACGAGUGAUUGGAGUACCAAACAGGGAGGGAUAACAGAAAAUAUAGAGAAAAUUGCUGAAGAUUUGUUGGCAGAAAACUUUCCAGAUGUUGUGAAAGAUGACAGGAUAUCUAUCCAAGAUGCUCAUCGAACUCCACGUAAGGUGGAUGUUAAAAGAAAGUCACCAAGCCAUAUUAUAAUCAAACUUGCCAAAACCAAAGAUGAAGAGAGAACUAUAAGAGCAGUGAGGGAUAAACAAAAAGUCA